GGGUGCGAUCAUUCCAACAUUAAUGCACUAGAUCCCAUCAGAACUCCGCAGUUAAGUGUGUUUUGGCGAGAGCAGUACUAAGAUGGGUGACCUCCUAGGAAGUCCUCGUGUUGCACACC